CGAAAGCCUGACGGAGCAAUGCCGCGUGAGGGACGAAGGUCUGUGGAUUGUAAACCUCUUUUGUUAGGGAAGAUAAUGACGGUACCUAACGAAUAAGCAUCGGCUAAUUCCGUGCCAGCAGCCGCGGUAAUACGGGAGUGGCAAGCGUUAUCCGGAAUUAUUGGGCGUAAAGCGUCCGCAGGCGGUUUUACAAGUCUGUCGUUAAAGCGUGGAGCUCAACUCCAUUUCAGCGAUGGAAACUGUAAGACUCGAGUGUGGUAGGGGCAGAGGGAAUUCCCGGUGUAGCGGUGAAAUGCGUAGAUAUCGGGAAGAACACCAGUGGCGAAAGCGCUCUGCUGGGCCAUAACUGACGCUCAUGGACGAAAGCCAGGGGAGCGAAAG
rnacentral:rRNA from 1 species